CUUCUCCAUCAAUGAUGUACUGCACUGGGCUCUGAAUUACCGUGGCGACAACGUGCAUCUCCGGCCCUGACAAGCCGGAGUCUGAGGAGAGG